AUGAGCCUCUGGUGCUCCUGUGGGUGCAGCAUGAGCCCCCCUCCCCCCGAGAGAGACAAAGACGUCCACCGCCUUUGCCCAAGGCGGAGGGGAAACUCAUGCGCUCGCUGUCCCACAGGCUUCCAGCGGCUGGAGAAAGGCUCGCGCAAGCGGAAGGUGGCAGCAUCCAAGGGAAGCAAUUCCCCGAGUGCGAAACCAGAGCAUCCAGCCCGUUGCCCCUGCCGCCGAAAUCCCCUCUGCUGGAAGGGCCGCCGGCCCCAGGGGGCAGUGAAGAUCUGUGCUUGCCGAGCCUCAGGCAAGUCAGGAGGACGCUGGCGCAGCGAGGGAAACAACCCAGUGAAUCUGGCAAAAGGGACCGAAGCCACUGUGUCGAAGCCCCCGCUAGGCUUGGUGCCGUCCAGGUACCCGCAGAAGAAGGAAGGAAGCAAAGUCCUCGGAGGGCUGACAGCCACCUCAGCCAGGGGGCCGGCCGGCCGUAGAGUAUCACACCAUCACUUUGCCCCUACUCUGUUCCUGCUUGACCGCCAGAGUUCUCCACAGAGUCCUGUCUGGGACCAUCAGAAGAGAUGGGCUUCUUGCCUGGGCCCCUCUGGGCCUGCAGCCUGCUCCCCACCACAGCCCGCCCAGUGCCCCCACUGGAAGCCCACCAGCAGCAGCACGGGAGGGCGGCAGCCUCCAGACAUCUAUCUCCCCCGGCAGCCACCAUCCGGAACCCCUGGCCGCCCCUGGUACCCCAGGCAGUGCUUGCCACAGGCUGCUCCUGAAGCCUACCUCUGGUCUGAGCCAGGACGAUCCGGUCUAAGCUGGGCGGCCUGGCAGCCAGACCCAACAGAGGAGCUGUGCGCCUGGCCCCGCCCUCCCACCAGGGGGCAAGGAUUGGCUCUGUUGCCUCAAGAGCCACCGCAGACCAAAAUACGUUCCUGGCCAAAGGCCACAGAGGAGUUUCCCUUCUCAGCUGAUUUACCUGGCAAAAAUUUAGCUUGCCCUUCACCCCAAGGGCACAGGGCAGGCAACAGGGUAAAAUAA
rnacentral:lncRNA from 1 species